GGCGCAGGUGGUUUCUUAAGUCUGAUGUGAAAGCCUUCGGCUUAACCGGAGAAGAGCAUCGGAAACUGGGAGACUUGAGUGCAGAAAAGGACAGUGGAACUCCAUGUGUAGCGGUGAAAUGCGUAGAUAUAUGGAAGAACACCAGUGGCGAAGGCGGCUGUCUGGUCUGUAACUGACGCUGAGGCUAGAAAGCAUGGGUAGCGAACGA
rnacentral:rRNA from 1 species